AGGAUACGAUAGUGAGCCGGUUGUCAGCGCACUUCGCUAUCCUGGGCAGUGAGAGCCAGCACUUCACCGGGUUCAUGGUGCAGGCGCGAGACGACGCCUCAGGGUUGCCGGUCGGGCAGUUCGACACAGGGUGUCUCGACAUCAACACCAUGAACUGCUUCGGCGGUUUCGCGAAUACUGCAGUCCACCUCAGUUUCGGAGCCCAAGUCUGACGCUCACAUGCGCUGGCUUCCAGAUCUGGACUUUGUUGGGAACGUCACUUUCUUUGCAACGGUGGCCCAGUCCCGGAAAGUCUUCUGGGUGAGGCAUCCUGCGAGAAAAUUGCAAGUUAUCCUUGACGUCGCCUGAAUCUGCAAUAAUACAUUUGUUUCAUUUAUACAAACUAAUUUAAAAUAAUUUAAUCGUAAAUUGUAAAGUAGUAA